rnacentral:rRNA from 1 species
UACGUAGGGGGGCUAGCGUUGUCCGGAAUCAUUGGGCGUAAAGCGCGUGUAGGCGGCCCGGUAAGUCCGCUGUGAAAGUCGGGGGCUCAACCCUCGGAAGCCGGUGGAUACUGUCGGGCUCGAGUACGGAAGAGGCGAGUGGAAUUCCUGGUGUAGCGGUGAAAUGCGUAGAUAUCUGGAGGAACACCGGUGGCGAAGGCGGCAUCCUGGACCGGUAUUGACGCUGAGGCGCGAAAGCCAGGGGAGCAAACGGG